GAUUUAGAAAGUGAAGAACUAUAGAAACAACUUCCUGCUUUACAACAACUGCUAUAUCGACUUAUGGGAUGCAGGCUAAGGUUACAGGUCAACAACACUGUCAUGUAAAGCAAAUGACAAACUUAUUUGGUAUUCUAAAAUAAAAAAAGCAACUUGAGUUGUUUCUUAUUGAUAGUGUUUUUGUUUUAUGACAGACCUUAUUCAUUCUCCUCUUGGGCAAUUACCACUAACCAUUGAAGACCGUAUGCAAACAUUCUCAACAUACAGGAACAAGAAAACAAAGAGGAAUUUUGGCAGAAAAUCAAGGAAACGAAUGAGAGAAAAUUGAAGCUUUGAAAAGGCAUCAAAUGAGACUUUUGGUCAACUGGAAGAGACAAAAAGUGGACGAGAUUAAUGGUGAAUGUACCAAAUGAGCAUUGGAAUCCGGUUAUACCCAGCGGAAGUUCUUGGGCUCCGAUGAGUCCAGGGAAACUGAUCUAUGAAAGAUCAAAUUUUAUCAAAACAAUAUUGCACAAAGGAACUUGAACCCCUAAAAAAUCAGCAAUCCACUACAUUUAAUUUGGACAUGAUUUUGAAGAGCAUUUACGCAAACUUGAUCCAACCCGGCGCCAACGACGCAAGUAAUUCCCUACUAGUUAAUAAUUAAAUAUAAAAAAUUGAGUGAACUAACUUAUUUUGACUUUUUUUAUAUAUAUAAAAAGUAAUUUUCAUA